rnacentral:lncRNA from 10 species
ACUGAUAUCAUAUGGAAAUGCCAGCUCAGAAGAUGUGGUGAGCUUUGAUAAUUCAGGAAUUGACUGACAGAAGGAGGACCUCAUUUGGGCAGAACUUCACAAACCCUAAGGAUUCAUCUCUGGACAAUGAGCAAAUCUUCACUGGCUUCACUUUAGCUCAGCACCUAAUGCAGUGUUUGGUUCUGAAAAGCCUCCUUUGUGUGUGAGGAACUGUUCUGAAAUCUCCCGACAAGAAAAAUGGCUCCCAAAACCCAGUUGUGUCUCUGGGUGUGUAAGCCCAGCAGCAGGCAGUGUGUCAUCGCUGUGUCAGUUCUAUGGUGUGAUGUGCGGAACUGGUACUGGAAUGUAGACAUCAAGGCUGGUUCUUCGGCUCUCCCAAAGGCCAAAGAUAUCUAUUUAAAUAUCAUUUAAAUAAACCCCUUUAUUGCUUAAAUCAUC